rnacentral:rRNA from 1 species
UCCUACGGGGGGCAGCAGUGAGGAAUAUUGGUCAAUGGGCGCGAGCCUGAACCAGCCAAGUCGCGUGAGGGAUGACGGUCCUACGGAUUGUAAACCUCUUUUGCCGGGGAGCAAGCGUGCGUUCGUGAACGCACGUCGAGAGUACCCGGAGAAAAAGCAUCGGCUAACUCCGUGCCAGCAGCCGCGGUAAUACGGAGGAUGCGAGCGUUAUCCGGAUUUAUUGGGUUUAAAGGGUGCGCAGGCGGAGGUGCAAGUCAGCGGUCAAAUUGCGGGGCUCAACCCCGUACUGCCGUUGAAACUGCAUC